UGGGUUGUAGCUCAACGGUAGAGCACUGGCCUCGCAAGUGUGAGGCCCUGGGUUCGAUCCUUAGCACCACAU
rnacentral:tRNA from 1 species